rnacentral:lncRNA from 1 species
CACAUCCUGGCCUGCCUGCCUGUUCCCCGCCGGGAGUGUCUGCCGGUGACCACACUUACUCAGGGAAAGAUGAAGUCACCACCUGCAUGAGUUUCAGGAUGGCCAGAGAAUGGCCCCUUCAGAUAGACUGGAGCCACCCUGGGGAGGUAGAAAUUCUUAUGGACUGGAAUCUUCCUCAAGGCUUACUUUGUUCCUGGGAUGCAGUGGUGCAUAGAAGAUAGGGCAUUGACUCACUCAGACCUGGCUUGCCCAGCAUGCAUUGCAACAAUGAUGUGCAAGUUAUUAAAGACAUGAGUGAAUUCAACAGCUAGAUUGUGGUCCCAUUUACAACUCUGUCCAGCAUGGAGAAACCC